CACGGAUUGUCAAUUAGAUAUCCUAGCUUCGUUAAUAUCAAGGGCCACUGUAAGGCACCCAUUAGAGAAACUAAGACGGUGGAUCCCAAUACCUGUUGAAGAGACUGUGUAACCACUUCUGUUGCCAAAAUGUUCAUAGUCUGACCAGCAGAAGCAAGCAUUUCGGGCUCCCAAAAAACAGAAUAAAUAUCACCCACGAUAGGAUCAAGUGU